rnacentral:rRNA from 1 species
UCAGGAUGAACGCUAGCGGCAGGCUUAACACAUGCAAGUCGAGGGGCAGCGCGAGGUAGCAAUACUUGGCGGCGACCGGCGGAAGGGUGCGUAACGCGUGAGCAACAUGCCCGUAUGAGGGGGAUAAGCGAUGGAAACGUCGUCUAAUACCCCGUAACACAGGAGAUCGCAUGAUCAUCUGUUGAAAGAUUUAUCGCAUACGGAUUGGCUCGCGUGACAUUAGCUAGUCGGCGGGGUAACGGCCCACCGAGGCGACGAUGUCUAGGGGUUCUGAGAGGAAGGUCCCCCACACUGGAACUGAGACACGGUCCAGACUCCUACGGGAGGCAGCAGUGAGGAAUAUUGGUCAAUGGGCGGAAGCCUGAACCAGCCAUGCCGCGUGAAGGAAUAAGGCCCUAUGGGUCGUAAACUUCUUUUGACGGGGAGCAAUAAGGGUCACGUGUGGCCCGAUGAGAGUACUCGUCGAAUAAGCAUCGGCUAACUCCGUGCCAGCCGCGGC